AAUCACUUCAGUAUGAUGCCAUAAAAUAUAUAAUAAUUAUUAUUCUUUCAUAUUAUACGUAUUAAAAAAAAUAUACAUUCUAGAUUAGAAUAUUAUUAACAGCACCAAAUCAUUAGUACUAUUAAGUUUUCGAUACUUCAAAAUGAUCAAAAUGAUAGAUUUAAUGGCGAAAAAUUUGCUAGCACUAAAUGUUUAGUGUUAUUAUUAAUAGCAUUAUACACGAACUCUUAUUUUUAAAUAUUAUUAUAUUAUAUAUAAUUAAUAAUACAUUCAAAAUAUAGAUUAUUGAAAAUUUAAUGUAUAUUUUAAUUAAUUAUUAAAAUAUUGAAUAAAAAAAUUAACUAUUAUUUGUAAAAUCGGAUCGAUUU
rnacentral:lncRNA from 1 species